rnacentral:tRNA from 1 species
GUAUUUGUGGUGUAGCGGUCAGCACGCUCGACGCGUAACUGAGAGGUCCGUGGUUCGAUUCCCGGCGAAGGCG